AUAGGAGCAGAAUUUCUAUAGUCUAUCAGUACGUGGAGGGAAAAAUUCCCGCUCCCGCUCCCACUCCCUAAAAUGAAAAUUCCUUCACUUGAAGUUCUAUCAAACACAACUAAACCCUAGAAAUUGGUAUCGCCCUUCCCUAAUCAUACAAUUAAGAAAAAUUGGAUAACGGCUUCUACUCCCCCCAAAUCAAUAAAGUGAAUAACAAAAAGCCCUGCCGUCAUCUAUAUUGCAACAGCCGUUCUGCGAUAGUGAUAUCAUAAUUUUGGGGUCAUGCUAAUCUUUUUGUAUUCUUCCAAUUUUAUUGGAUGUCCCCGAACAGAUGCUAUUAAUAGCUAAGAAGAUUAUGAAAGUAUCACCUAUUUUGAUUCGAUUGUUUUGACUUGAAAAAUUGUUCUUCCUGAGUGCAACAGUUGAGAAGACCAAAACGGAAAAAUCUGUUUAGAUGAUCCAUGGAGAUGGUAAAGUAAUGGUCAGCUUUUUUGUCUUCUCGCUCAAAUAUGCUUGCUUUCAUUUGCUUAAGCAUGGUCACUUUGAUGUUGUUGAAGUGAAGCGGUCAUAUUUGGGAUCAUUUCAAGACAAAGUUCUACCAUACGUUGCCAUGAUUUGACACAUUGUUUUUAGUCAAAUUCAAAGUUUAGUAGUAAACAAAAAAACUAUCUGAUUAUUGCCAUGUAUAAAGAAUAUAUAAAAUGUGUUUGAAUUACUUUGAUGGCCCCCCUUUCUCUCAUAGUCUCAUAGCAGCUAAACACUUUAUCUUCUUCAAAAGCUUUAUAUAGUCCUGUUUUCUUCACUCUACCAAUCAUUUUGAAUUAUUUUGGGGUGUAUGACCAUGAAGAUAGUAUUCUACGAUAACAGGAAAUGGUUCAAUUAAAUCUGCUCUUCUGCCGCUUCACUGUCUUGCUGCAGGUGUAGCAUCUCAAUGGCUGGAACUUCUACAACAGGACAAUAAAGGCCAUCUUGCAGGUAGUGUUGCUUAACUUCCAUGUAUGUUUAGUUGCUAUAUUUUAAAACGAUUGCUACAUCUAUGUGAGUAAAUAUUGAUUGAUGUUGUUGCAUCUUUAAGGCAUAGCAACAAAUGAGUUGAAGCUGUAACUCGAACAAAACUUUCUCACUUGAUAUUGACUCACUUUUUUCUAACCAAGAAAGAUUCUUCAGCUGCCCAUUUAGCAAAUAAAUCACAAAAUAGUAUGCAGAAGGUCAGUUAGAUUGCCCUUCUUCAUGAGAUACGUGAGGCACUUUUUUGUUUAUUAGCUUUCCAGUUGAUAACAGGAAAAUACGUCUCUUUUUUGUUUAUUAGUUUUCCAUCCUCUAUAAUGUAACAAACUUACAUGACUGCAGUUUGCAGCCAAGAUAGUGUAAUGUUACGGUCUUGGAGCAUUUAACUAUAUAUUGUUUAUGAAUUUCA